rnacentral:rRNA from 1 species
AAACUUUCUAACUUAGCCUGCAUGCCUUCGAUAGAAGUCGAUUUCCAUCUGCCAACGGCUCCCUAUAUAUGUUAUAACCUAACUCCCCCCAAUCGACCAACCGGAUAACCUCCGUAAUUCUAAGGCCAAUAAAUCAUUAAAUGCUGAUGGGCCCUCUCCCCCUCGGGUGUGGGAGGUGUUCCAGGCCUUGGCGAUCCACCUCGGCCCCCCACCCUCGGGUGGAGGUCGCAGGCGAAUCUCCCCAAGUGCACCUUACCACAAGCAAUGUCCGCCGGAUCCUGAGGGGGGUUUCAGAACUAUCAACUAAAGGGCUGGGGAUAUCCCAUCCCUGGUUAUAACCGGUACAGAGGAUAAGGGUUCGAGGGAC